rnacentral:rRNA from 1 species
GACGAACGCUGGCGGCGUGCUUAACACAUGCAAGUCGAACGGAAAGGCCUUUUCUGAGGUCCUCGAGUGGCGAACGGGCGAGUAACACGCGGGUGAUCUGCCCUGCCCUCUGGGUUAAGCCUGGGAAACUGGGUCUAAUACCGGCUAGGACUGCCCUUUCGUGUGUGUGGUGGAAAGUUUUUUCGGUGUAGGAUGGGCCCGCGGCCUAUCAUCUUGUUGGUGGGGUAAUGGCCUACCAAGGCGGCGACGGGUCGCCGGACUGGGAGGUUGGCCGGCAACAUGGGGAUGAGAUUAGGGCCAGGCUCCUACGGGGAGGAAGAGGGGGGAAUAAUGGAAAAAGGGGGGGAGGCUGAAGGAGGGGCGCCGCGGGGGGGGAGGCGGGCUUCGGGGUGGAAAACCCGUUCGCCAGGGACGGAGCGGUUUGUGACGGUACCUGGAGAAGAAGCACCGGCUAACUACGUG